rnacentral:rRNA from 1 species
GACGAACGCUGGCGGCGUGCUUAACACAUGCAAGUCGAACGGAGUGGCGAACGGGUGAGUACCACGUGGGUGAUCUGCCCUGCACUUCGGGAUAAGCCUGGGAAACUGUGUCUAAUCCCUGAUAGGGUAGGAUGAGCGCGCGGCCUAUCAGCUUGUUGGGGGGGUAAUGGCCUACCCAGGCGGCGACGGGUAGCCGGCCUGAGAGGGUGGAAGGCCACCUUGGGACUGAGAUAUGGCCCAGACUGCGACGGGAGGGAGAAGUGGGGAAGAUUGAACAAUCGGAGCAAGCCUGAUGCAGCGACGCCGCGGGGGGGAUGAUGGCCUUCGGGUUGUAAACUCCUUUCGCUAGGGACGCGGUACCUAGAGAAGAAGCACCGGCUAACUACGUGCCAGCAGCCGCGGUAAUUC